rnacentral:rRNA from 1 species
AGCGAACGCUGGCGGCAGGCCUAACACAUGCAAGUCGAACGAACCUUUCGGGGUUAGUGGCGGACGGGUGAGUAACACGUGGGAACGUGCCUUUAGGUUCGGAAUAACUCAGGGAAACUUGUGCUAAUACCGAAUGUGCCCUUCGGGGGAAAGAUUAAUCGCCUUUAGAGCGGCCCGCGUCUGAUUAGCUAGUUGGUUGAGGUAAUGGCUCACCAAGGCGACGAUCAGUAGCUGGUCUGAGAGGAUGAUCAGCCACAUUGGGACUGAGACACGGCCCAAACUCCACGGGAAGGAGGAAUGGGGGAUGCUGGCGCAAGGGGCGAAGGCCGGACGCGGCCAGGCCGGGGGAAUGAGGAAGGUCUAGGAUUGUAAAAUUCUUUCACCGGGGACGAUAAUGACGGUACCCGGAGAAGAAGCCCCGGCUAACUUCGUG